AGUGAACGCUGGCGGUAGGCUUAACACAUGCAAGUCGAACGGCAGCACAGUAAUAGCUUGCUCUUACGGGUGGCGAGUGGCGGAUGGGUGAUGAAUACAUCGGCAUCUACUUUUUCGUGGGGGUUAACGUAGGGAAACUUUCGCUAAUAUUACAUUCGACCUACGGGUUAAAGCUAGGGAACCUCGGACCUCGCGCGAUUGACUGUGCCGAUGUCGGAUUAGCUAGUUGGCGGGGAAAAGGCCCACCAAGGCGACGGUCCGUAGCUGGUCUGAGAGGAUGAGCAGCCACACUGGAACUGAGACACGGCCCAGACUCCUACGGGAAGGAGCAGUGGGGAAUAGGGGACAAUGGGCGCAAGCCUGAUCCAGCCAUACCGCGUGGGUGAAGAAGGACUUCUGGUUGUAAAGCCCUUUUGUUGGGAAAGAAAAGCAGCAUGUUAAUACCCCGCUGUUCUGACGGUACCAAAAGAAGAAGCACCGGCUAACUUCGUG
rnacentral:rRNA from 1 species